GACGAACGCUGGCGGCGUGCUUAACACAUGCAAGUCGAACGGAAAGGCCCUGCUUUUGUGGGGUGCUCGAGUGGCGAACGGGUGAGUAACACGUGGGUAACCUGCCCUUGACUUUGGGAUAACUUCAGGAAACUGGGGCUAAUACCGGAUAGGAGCUCCUGCUGCAUGGUGGGGGUUGGAAAGUUUCGGCGGUUGGGGAUGGACUCGCGGCUUAUCAGCUUGUUGGUGGGGUAGUGGCUUACCAAGGCUUUGACGGGUAGCCGGCCUGAGAGGGUGACCGGCCACAUUGGUACUGAGAUACGGCCCAGACUCCUACGGGAGGCAGCAGUGGGGAAUAUUGCACAAUGGGCGGAAGCCUGAUGCAGCAACGCCGCGUGCGGGAUGACGGCCUUCGGGUUGUAAACCGCUUUCGCCUGUGACGAAGCGUGAGUGACGGUAAUGGGUAAAGAAGCACCGGCUAACUACGUG
rnacentral:rRNA from 1 species